rnacentral:rRNA from 1 species
GACGAACGCUGGCGGCGUGCUUAACACAUGCAAGUCGAACGACGUGGCGAACGGGUGAGUAACGCGUAAUCAACCUGCCCUUCCGAGGGGGACAACAGUUGGAAACGACUGCUAAUACCGCAUACUGAAGGAGGGGAUUGCGUCUGAUUAGCUAGUGGGAGGGGUAACGGCCCACCAAGGCGAGGAUAAGUAGGCGGGCUGAGAGGGUGAACGGCCACAUUGGGACUGAGACACGGCCCAGACUCCUACGGGAGGCAGCAGUGGGGAAUCGUCCGAAAUGGAGGAAAGUCUGACGGAGCAAAGCCGCGUGAGUGAUGACGGCCUUCGGGUUGUAAAGCUCUGUUAAGCGGGACGCGGUACCGGAAUAGAAAGCCACGGCUAACUACGUGCCAGCAGCCGCGGUAAUUC